UACGAAGGGGGCUAGCGUUGCUCGGAAUUACUGGGCGUAAAGCGCGCGUAGGCGGAUCGUUAAGUCGGAGGUGAAAUCCUGGAGCUCAACUCCAGAACUGCCUUCGAUACUGGCGAUCUUGGAGUCCGGGAGAGGUGAGUGGAACUCCGAGUGUAGAGGUGAAAUUCGUAGAUAUUCGGAAGAACACCAGUGGCGAAGGCGGCUCACUGGCCCGGUACUGACGCUGAGGUGCGAAAGCGUGGGGAGCAAACAGG
rnacentral:rRNA from 1 species